rnacentral:rRNA from 1 species
UGGCUAACUCCUACGGGAGGCAGCAGUGGGGAAUAUUGCACAAUGGGCGCAAGCCUGAUGCAGCCAUGCCGCGUGUAUGAAGAAGGCCUUCGGGCUGUAAAGUACUUUCAGCGGGGAGGAAGGGAGUAAAGUUAAUACCUUUGCUCAUUGACGUUACCCGCAGAAGAAGCACCGGCUAACUCCGUGCCAGCAGCCGCGGUAAUACGGAGGGUGCAAGCGUUAAUCGGAAUUACUGGGCGUAAAGCGCACGCAGGCGGUUUGUUAAGUCAGAUGUGAAAUCCCCGGGCUCAACCUGGGAACUGCAUCUGAUACUGGCAAGCUUGAGUCACGUAGAGGUGGGUAGAAUUCCAGGUGUAGCGGUAAAAUGCGUAGAGAUCUGGAGGAAUACCGGUGGCGAAGGCGGCCCCCUGGACGAAGACUGACGCUCAGGUGCGAAAGCGUGGGGAGCAGACAGGAUUAGAAACCCCAGCAGUCCAGCUGG